ensembl:lncRNA novel transcript
ACAGGCAGCGGCGGCCGACAGCCAGGCAGGAGGAGGGCGGAGGAGCGGCGCACAGCCUCCACCAGAGCAUCUGGGGGCUCAAGCCGCCAGAGAGCCCUGGAGACUAGCCAGCAAAGGACAAGGCUAGCAUGGGCAUUUACCCCACUGCCUCAGCUGCCUCACCAGGAAUGCAGGAGAUGCAGAUGCACGGAUGAGAAAGCUUUGCCUGUCCCAAUGCACAGCGAUGCCUGACGCUGCCUCAGAGUACCUGUGCUCUGCCCAUCCAGCUUCUGGUCAUCCGAGGCCCAGGUCCCAAAGGGGCGUGGGAGGAGAUGGUGGGAGAGACAGCUAGGCCCCAUGCUGGACACCUGAGAGGGAGACCCUGGCUUUGUGUUGAGGUAAGUUCGAGAGAUCUGAGACUACCCUUGACUGUGGAUCGGCAGUAGUAGGAAUCUAACUCGCUCUCUGUCGUUGUUUUUUUUCUUUACACCGAGUCGUGCUCUGUCGCCCAGGCUGGAGUACAGUGGUGCAAUCUCAGCUCACUGCAACCUCCGUCUCUCAUGUUCAAGCAAUUCUCAUGCCUCAGCCUCCCGAGUAGCUGGGAUUACAGGCGCCCACCACCAUGCCCGGCUAAGUUUUGUAUUUUUUAGUAGAAAUGGGGUUUCACCAUGUUGGCCAGGCUGGUCUCGAACUCCUGACCUCAAGUGAUCCACCUGCCUCGGCCUCCCAAAGUGCUGGGAAAACAGGCGUGAGCCACCGCACCUGGCCUCUGUCAUCUUUUUUUAGAGACAAGUUCUCGCUCUGUCACCCAGGCUGGAGCACAGUGGUGUGAUCACAGAUCACUGCAGCCUUGAAUUCCUGGGCUCAAGUGAUCCUCCCACCUCAGCCUCCCUGAGCAGCUGGGACUACAGACACACGCCACCACAGCAGGCUAAUUUUUAAAUUUUUUAUAGCGAGAGGGUCUUGCUGUGUUGCCCAGGCAGGUCUUGAACUCUUGGCCUCAAGCAAUCCUCCUGCCUCAACCUCCCAACGUGCUGGGAUUAACAGGCAGGAGCCACUAUACCCGGCCAACUCUCUUUGAUCUUAAACCAAAGAAAUGAGAUUUCUCCGAAGCCAGAGUUAUAAGUGAUGGGGGUCAAUUGUGAGGAACUGAAUGGAUUUAACUGUGAAUGGUGUAGAACUUAUUCUACAGCACACUAAGGUCAAAUCAGAUCUGUAUUCUCCUACGCAAACAGUAGGAAAUGUGGGAGAUUAUGUGAUACUGAAAAAAAAAAUGGAAAAGGAAAGCAAUUCAUUUUCUUCACUGUUACAAAACAUCACUUUUGUGUGUAUAAACCUGGAAUCAAUUAUUCAACUUCCCUUAUGGAUAAAGCAUAACUUGUAAUAAACAGCAAAGAGGGUUGUUCAUUUCACUUAAUGAUAAAUAAAAUGAUGUUUGACCAAUUUGAUGAAGACAGUAAGUCAAACUUAAAUGGUCGGGCAUUUUAUGUUGCUGAAACUACUAAUCUUAUUAAGAAGCUUUUCACAUUUAAAAUAUGCAAAAUGCAAGCAAAAUUUAGUAGAGAAAGUAAAGUUAAAUAUUUAAUGACAUAAUUAAGUC